GAUGAACGCUGGCGGUAUGCUUAACACAUGCAAGUCGAACGGACUCUUCGGAGUUAGUGGCGGACGGGGGAGUAACGCGUGAGAAAAUGGCUUUGGGUUCGGGACAACAACUGGAAACGGUGGCUAAUACCGGAUGUGCCGAGAGGAAAAAGAGAAAUUGCCUGAAGAUGAGCUCGCGACUGAUUAGCUAGUUGGUGAGGAAAAGGCUCCCCAAGGCAGCGAUCAGUAGCUGGUCGGAGGGGAUGACCGGCCACACUGGGACUGAGACACGCCCCGACCUCCUCCGGGAGGCAGCAGUGGGAAAUUUUCCGCAAUGACCGAAAGCCUGACCGAGCAGUACCGCGUGAGCGAAGAAGGUUCUUGGAUUGUAAACCUCUUUUCUUAGGGAAGAACAAAAUGACGGUACCUACGGAAUCAGCAACGGCUAACUCCGUG
rnacentral:rRNA from 1 species